GACAGAGGGUGCAAACGUUGCUCGGAAUCACUGGGCGUAAAGGGCGUGUAGGCGGGAAGGAAAGUCAGAUGUGAAAGCCCUGGGCUCAACCUGGGAACGGCAUUGGAAACUGGCUUACUAGAGUGCGGUAGAGGGGUGUGGAAUUCCCGGUGUAGUGGUGAUAUGCGUAGAUAUCGGGAGGAACACCUGUGGCGAAGGCGGCUUUCUGGGCCCUACCUGACGCUGAGACGCGAAAGCGUGGGGAGCGAACCGG
rnacentral:rRNA from 1 species